CUUCCACAAUAUCAUAUAUUUACUUUGAAAUUAAUAUACUAAUAAUUUUAAAAAUAUAAUCAGUAAAAGCUUUAUAUAUGAAAAUGCAUGAGAAGCUUACAAAUUUGAUACUCAAAGUAUAACGUCGUUAGCAAUAAUAUAAUAACCAAAUUUAUUCUCUCUAUCUAACCAACAUUUAUAAAGUAUUGGAAAAUAUUUCGUCACUUUGUAGAAACAUAACAAAGUAUUUGAUAUAACCCAAAAACAUUCCAAAUCUUGAGAAUGGACAAAUACUCAAAUCUAAGCAAGAGCAUGCAUAUCCUUGAUCCAUUGGUCCAAUGACUUACCAAUAGAGUAAACAAUAAAUCAUAUCUUCCCCAGCUUCUCUACAUCAACAACAUUUCUAUACCAUCAAAGACAAACGCUGGUUUCUGCAUCUUUUCAAAAAUCCUCUCAUAGUCAAGCGUCUUACAUUCAUCCCACUCAAUUAACAAGCAGAUUCCAUGGGCGUCUUUAGUGGCAUCACAAUUAAAAAUCCAAAGACUGUGAUGAUCCAUCUUGAGAUCACAUCUUUGACAUGCAUAAGGAAAAUAUGGAUCGAGUAAAGCUUUCUUUCUCUAUCACUAAAAAAUGGUCACCAUACAAUGAGAAUUUUCACUACUAAGCACAACAUGGUAGCAAAUCAGAUUUUUCCUUACACACAUUACAAUGAUGGCAACGAGGCAAUUACAAGCAAUGGAAUUCAAGACUAAAGUAUUUUUUGAGGUAAUAUUUGCCAUAAGAACUCAUGAUUACAGAAUUGACAGUUCUCGUUCCCAACAUCGAAUCCCACCACACUCAUCUAAGCGAAUCAACAAGAGAUCUUAGAUAUAAAGUUAUAAACGCAUACUGAAAUUCUUGCUCUUCGAAGAGAAAUCAAAUCAAACGAGAAGGACAAAAGAUGAAGAAGACUAUACAAUGAUCUGAAACUUCGAAUCGUUUAUGCAGGACAUCCGGUGACUGAGAGAGCGUUGUCAUCGUCGUCGGAGCGUUGUCGUCGUCGUCGGAGCGGUGGUGAUUAUUGUUGAUAUCCAUCGGAAGAUUGAGGAACUAAGAAAGAAUCUCUAAGUUUUAUAAUGGCGUAAGAGAGAGGAGAACAAACCGAUUGCGAGGGCGAGACGCCGGAGACAACGGCCGGCGAGAUCGGCGGUGCGACCUCUAGUUUGGGAGGAGAGGAUGCGAGCAAAAGUUUUUG
rnacentral:lncRNA from 1 species